GAUCUACAGUGAUCAUCGAAUCUUUGAACGCACCUUGCGCUCCUUGGUAUUCCGAGGAGCAUGCCUGUUUGAGUGUCAGUGAAUCAUCAACCCCAGCGUAAAAACUGGGUGCUUGGAUAGUGGGGGUUUGCCAGAGACCUUUGAUUAGGACUCGGGCUCUCCUGAAAUGCAUUGGCUUGCGGGUCGACGACUUUUGACUUUGCGCGACAAGGCUUUCGGCGUGAUAAUGAUCGCCGUGUGCUGAAGCGCAUUGACUCUGGUUAAACCGUCCGUGCCUCUAAUAUUCACUCGAGGGGUCGACCCAUAUGAGGUCCUCCUUGACGAUUUUGACCAUAUUGACCUCAAAUCAGGUAGGACUACCCGCUGAACUUAAGCAUAUCAAUAAGCGGA
rnacentral:rRNA from 1 species